rnacentral:rRNA from 1 species
GGAAUUGCUAGUAAUGGCAGGUCAGCAUACUGCCGUGAAUACGUUCCCGGGCCUUGUACACACCGCCCGUCACACCAUGAGAGUUGGGAAUACCCGAAGCCUGUGAGCUAACAUUUAUGAGGCAGCAGUCGAAGGUAGAAUCAAUGAUUGGGGUGAAGUCGUAACAAGGUACC